UUUACAGAACGUUUCAUGGUGGCAGUGGUGGGCUAAGCAUGCCUGUCCUUGGGCUCCAUGGGAGCAUAUGCUGCCACUAGUGUUAGUGUGUCCAGGCAGGCUGACUCUUGACCUCCAGAUGGCUUGCUCAGGUACCAGGAAUGGCAGCAGUGGACCAGGUAGGUGGGCAGGUUCUCAAACCGUUGGGCAGUGUUCAUGGCAUGGGUGAUAGCAAUCGAAGUGGUGGGAAAACCCUCUGAAACCCAAGUAGUCAGUCAGCACUGGUGUUGGAACUGGCUGUGAUGGGUUGGUUGGCCUUGUCUCCAAACCUACAGGUGGGUCGUGUAGGUGGGUGCCAGCAGUGGUGGUAGGAGCAAGUUGAGUGGGCCCGAUCUCAGACACCAGGAGGAAUGAUUAGGUGCCACUGGUGGUGGACUGGGCUGGGCCACUCUCAGCCUCCUGGAUGGUGUGCUCAGGUACAAGGGGGCUGGAUCCGGGCUGAGCUGAGCCCUCAGGCACCUCAAUGGUGCUAUAGAUGCUGUCUGUGGUAUGUAGAGGUGAAAUGAGGCCCAGGCCGUUGGCAGAAUGCUCAGGUAGAGGCAGCAGCAGCUGCACUGUGGCCCUACUACUGAGGAGGGCAAGAUUGCUUUCCCUAGUUGCCAUAGCUAGGAUUGUAGGAGUCCAUGGUGGGAAUGUGGACUGCUAGGGUCUCUCACUUAUCCUUUUCCUGCAUUGGAGAGUCUCCCCCAGAUCCAAGGUGAUCUUGGCCCAGCAGGAUGCUUCAUUUCCUUCUCCUUCCUAGCUUUAGGUGUUUUCUGUCACUUUUCUGUCGAAUUCCAAUAUUCUCUCUUGGAUGAUCUAUUUGAAGUGUGAUUAUCUACUCACUAUUUUGGUUCCACUUAGUGGAGAAGGGUAGUAGGAGAUGCCUCUAAUCAGCCAUCUUGAAGCCCCUUACCCAGAAAAAAUCUUGAAAGAAACAAAAAUGGAAAUACAACAUGCCAAAAUGGAUGGCAUGCAUCAAAAACAGUUCUAAAAAGAAAGUUUAUAGCAAUAAAUACCUACAUUGACAAAAAAGAAAGAUCUCAAAUAAACAAUCUAACUUUACACCUCAAGGAACUAGAA
rnacentral:lncRNA from 1 species